rnacentral:rRNA from 1 species
GCCAGCGACGAUAUCUCUUUGAAUGUACCAGUUACCAAUAGAUCACUGAAGUUAAGCUGUGUGUCCGCGUGGUUGGUAUCUGAAUGGGUGACAAUCGGGGCAUUCGCAGGCUGCAGUCU